AAGCGAGGGAGCGAUCCGGAGCGAACCCCAAAAAUAACGUCUCAGUUCGGAUUGCAGCCUGCAACUCGGCUGCAUGAAGUCGGAAUCGCUAGUAAUCGCGGAUCAGAAUGCCGCGGUGAAUACGUUCCCGGGUCUUGUACACACCGCCCGUCACACCAUGGGAGUCGGGAAUGCCCGAAGCCGGCGGCCUAACCGAAAGGGGGGAGCCGUCGAAGGCAGGCCCGGUGACUGGGGUGAAGUCGUAACAAGGUAGC
rnacentral:rRNA from 1 species